ensembl:rRNA 5S_rRNA 5S ribosomal RNA
GUCUACGACCAUACCACCCUGAACGCGCUGAUCUGGGAAGCUAAGCAGGGUCUGGCCUGGUUAGUACUUAGAUGGGAGAAAAUGGAGUUUGCUGUAGUUU